rnacentral:rRNA from 1 species
AGUAGUUUGAUCAGUGGCUCGAGGACGAACGCUGGCGGCGUGCUUAACACAUGCAAGUCGAACGGUAAGACCUUUCGGGGUACACGAGUGGCGAACGGGUGAGUAACACGUGGGUGAUCUGCCCUGCACUUUGGGAUAAGCCUGGGAAACUGGGUCUAAUACCGAAUAGGACCAUGGACUUCACGGUUUGUGGUGGAAAGCUUUUGCGGUGUGGGAUGGGCCCGCGGCCUAUCAGCUUGUUGGUGGGGUAAUGGCCUACCAAGGCGACGACGGGGUAGCCGGCCUGAGAGGGUGACCGGCCACACUGGGACUGAGAUACGGCCCAGACUCCUACGGGAGGCAGCUGUGGGGAAUAUUGCACAAUGGGCGCAAGCCUGAUGCAGCGACGCCGCGUGAGGGAUGACGGCCUUCGGGUUGUAAACCUCUUUCAGCACAGACGAAGCGCAAGUGACGGUAUGUGCAGAAGAAGGACCGGCCAACUACGUG